UUCAGAGUUCUUUAAUGUUCCUGGGAGUAACUCAAUAAUUUUAUGGUAUUUUUAAAUAGGUUACAGAAGUAUGCAUAUUCCAUAAGAGAUUCAAAACUGAGAGUUACUACCAGUACUUUAGCUAUGGGAGUACAUUUGCCUGCUCACCUAGUAGUUAUAAAAUCUACAAUGCAUUAUGCUGGAGGACUGUUUGAAGAGUACAGUGAAACAGAUAUUCUACAGAUGAUUGGUAGAGCUGGUCGACCUCAAUUUGACACUACAGCUACUGCAGUUAUCAUGACUCGAUUAAGCACAAGAGACAAGUACAUUCAGAUGUUAGUUUGUAGAGACACUGUAAAAAGCAGGUUUUGCAUCUGGAUUGAACAAAGAUGGAAUUGAAGCAAAAUUACAAGAAUUAUGUUUGAAGAAUCUGAAUGAUUUAUCAUCCCUGGACUUAAUAAAGAUGGAUGAAGGUGUUAAUUUCAAACCAACUGGUAAUUCCCUAUCAUUGUCAGUAAAUUUAGCAAUUGUUUACUUAAGACUAAAUUAAAAUUUUGUUUUACUAAAGUUUAGAUGAUGAUAACUAAAUUGUGAGCUCAGUUCUCAACAGGGUGUCAUCAUUAUUAGCCGUAGGCAUGAUAAAUUUAAAC
rnacentral:lncRNA from 1 species